AUCUCAGUUUAGCACAUUCCAACCACACACAUGACCAGACGUACCAGCUGACCACAUCCCCUCCAGCCCUGGCAGUGCAGGGCAGAACCCAUCUUCUCACAGUCUAGACAGGGCUGAAGAAGCAGAUCUGUCUCUGUCUGAGUGAUUUUAGGAUUUCUACUAUUCCUUCCAGACUGACUACGUACGACAGAUUUAUGACGGAUCAGUUCUCCGCAUCAGUACAAUGCUCAGGUCUGGCUGCUCCCAUCGUCUGUUCAUUAUUGCUUACUGCUGCAGAACCCUCAAAAACGGAAAACAGGCAACUCAGAUUAUACUUUAUCUUAAAAGAUUUUGCUGAUCUCUACCACGAAUUCAUCAGGACUAAUGAGACAGGCUCUUUCUAGGUCAGACUCAGGCUUGGGGCUGUGCUUUAGUGUACACUGAGCGAAGGAUAUGGCGGCUGAACAGAAAGGGCUUAGAUCCUAAAGCCUCAGGGCUUACUACCACCAGAUGCCUGAGCUGAAAGCUCUCUUUUCGAGUGCAGUUUUUCUGGAAGAAAACCUGAGGAGCUGCAGCUGCGCCUUCUCUACCUAUGCCUGGUACUUACAGCACCUCGUGGCUAAGGGGACCCGUGGUCAACUCCUCAGCUCCUGAUGGACACGUAGCCUGCAGUCUAGCAUGGGCUGGGAGAGAGUGAAGUCCAAACUCACUGCUGGCACCAGUGCUGCUGGACCCGGUGGAACUAAUCUUGCUCAUGCCAAUAUUAAAUUUGGACAUCUACCUUAAAGAAAAACAGCCUUUGAGGUACAGAUUAGAAUACAUCAAUGGAAAACAGAACUCGUGUGUAGCCAAGUUUUCCUCACUUGCUAAUUUUCACUUUGAUCUGAUUUGAACUGGACCAAGUUUUUCUGCACUUGGGCUGCUACUCGCUGUUAUGAUGCAGCCACUAGGUCAGAGCUGGAGCUAGAAAAGCCUUCAUGCACGUGAAGUUCUCUGCAUUCUUGAGAAGUAAAAUCUGUAGUAAAUUGAGCCUGGGCACAGCGAGCAUACUUGAUUGAUUUUAGUGCUGUACAGGUUGUUUUUUUAAUGAUGCCUGCAGUUUACUGUUUCUGGUUUGUAAAGCAAAUAGACAAACAACCAACCAGAUGAGAAAUGCAGACCUGCCUUGGGGCAUGGGUUCUUCAUCUGGUCGCACCUGUGCUUUGCCCAUGAGCUCUCUCUGGGUUCAGAUUCAAAAAACAGGUUAGGCAUUUUGCAAUGAGAAGAACAAGACAAAAACCACCACCCUUCCAUUCCUUAGUGUAGCCAAAGCAUGCCCCAGGGGUGUGCUGGCUGAGGAUCUGUGCUCAGUUCAGCUGUGCUUGUAAGCUGCUUGCUGUUUAAUGCUAUCUAAAUGUUUUUAUAAAGGUCAAGUAGGAGUGGGAUCCUCCUAGUCGUUUGGAAAUGAGAAAUCUAGUCUGACUGAGCGAGAUUCCUCUGUGAGUGGAAAAUAUCAGCACUGCAGAAUGAUUCAUCCUAUUUUAAUCAGCCUGAUCUCUCUCCAUUGACUAUAAACGGGGCCCGGAUGACCAGCAUAUAUGAUUAGCAUAUAUCCAAAUUUUAGAUGUGUUUGUGCUCACUGAGAUUUUUACAAUUGGCCCUGCAGUGGCCAUACCAGGUACUAUUUUCACAGCUCUCAGAACUUGUGGUAUGCCACAGGGCUCCACGCAGUGCCUGCACGGCUCCUCUGGCUCCCGGGGCAAUGAACCUUGGCUGUGAGCAUUGCAGAAAUGCUGGCAGCAUGGCCUGCUGCAUGCAUCCUCAGCCUCAGUCUUCAAACCUGGAUUGCUUAUAGGUUCAGGGCUGAUCUGUACUCCCUUAACAGAAACCUACUGGGCCGAUUCUUCUAGGAGCUGCUUUCAAAACUGCCUUAAAUAUAUAAAUAUUGUACUGAUCGACAUAAAGUUAAAAAAAAAAGUUUAAAAAGUAGCAGUGAUUACUCCUCGAAAAGGGCAUUAUUACUGUUGGCCAUAUUUGUGAAACAGGCAAAAUAUCCCAGAAAGGGUCAAGUGUGCAUCUGGAGAAAGUGUGGGAUUGGUAUAAUUGGACAGAAAGAGGGAGAAGAGAGAGCAGGCAUCUCCAGUAAUUCACCAUGGAACAGCUUUAUGCUGGUUAUUGAAAUGCAGCCAGAGACAGUUAAUAGUAGUAAAAUGACUUUAUGUUCUGAUAUGUAAAAUAAAAUGUCCAUGCUAUGUAACAAACAGUUGAAAAUUCCACACCACCUGUAUCUAACGUGGUUUCUAAUAAAAAUUUAUCUGUAGUAUAUAUGUUUUUUAUCUAACCAAUUCUUAGUUUUUACAUCGAAGGUGUGUAAUUAAAAAAAAAAAAAUCUUAAAUAGAUGUCUUUCCAAAAAAAAAAAAAAAACCUUGCAACAUUCAUUUUUAUUAAGUAUUUCAUUUGUAAAAAGCAAAGCUGAAUUGGACACGUGGCCUGCAUUUGUGAUAUAUAUAUAUAUAUUUAUAUAUAUAUAAUAUAUAUAUAUGUAUAUAAAUAGCUAUUCAGCAUGCAAAAAUUGUAGUGAUUUUGAAAAUCUGAUUACAAAAUGCACACCAGUCACACACUGUCUGCUGAAUGUGUGUACAGGUUGUCCAGGUGGGAGCGUGACCUCCAUGGCAGCGGCCUCAGGGCUGCCUCACUGCGAGCAACCGUCCUCAUUCAUCAGCCUCUAUUGGUUGGAAUGGAUUCAUCCAAAUGCAGAAGUGCCUCCCGAC
rnacentral:lncRNA from 1 species